UACGGAGGGUGCAAGCGUUAUCCGGAUUCACUGGGUUUAAAGGGUGCGUAGGUGGGCAGGUAAGUCAGUGGUGAAAUCUCCGAGCUUAACUCGGAAACUGCCGUUGAUACUAUUUGUCUUGAAUAUUGUGGAGGUAAGCGGAAUAUGUCAUGUAGCGGUGAAAUGCUUAGAUAUGACAUAGAACACCAAUUGCGAAGGCAGCUAGCUACAGGGAUAUUGACACUGAGGCUCGAAAGCGUGGGGAUCAAACAGG
rnacentral:rRNA from 1 species